UGACUGGGGUGAAGUCGUAACAAGGUAACCGUAGGGGAACCUGCGGUUGGAUCACCUCCUUACC
rnacentral:rRNA from 1 species